CAAAGGUGAGCCAGUACAGGAUGGACCCGCGUCUGAUUAGCUAGUUGGUAAGGUAACGGCUUACCAAGGCGACGAUCAGUAGCCGACCUGAGAGGGUGAUCGGCCACAUUGGAACUGAGACACGGUCCAAACUCCUACGGGAGGCAGCAGUGGGGAAUAUUGCACAAUGGGCGAAAGCCUGAUGCAGCAACGCCGCGUGAGUGAUGAAGGCCUUCGGGUCGUAAAACUCUGUCCUCAAGGAAGAUAAUGACGGUACUUGAGGAGGAAGCCCCGGCUAACUACGUGCCAGCAGCCGCGGUAAUACGUAGGGGGCUAGCGUUAUCCGGAUUUACUGGGCGUAAAGGGUGCGUAGGCGGUCUUUCAAGUCAGGAGUGAAAGGCUACGGCUCAACCGUAGUAAGCUCUUGAAACUGGGAGACUUGAGUGCAGGAGAGGAGAGUGGAAUUCCUAGUGUAGCGGUGAAAUGCGUAGAUAUUAGGAGGAACACCAGUUGCGAAGGCGGCUCUCUGGACUGUAACUGACGCUGAGGCACGAAAGCGUGGGGAGCAAACAGGAUUAGACACCCUGGUAGUCCACGCUGUAAACGAUGAGUACUAGGUGUCGGGGGUUACCCCCUUCG
rnacentral:rRNA from 1 species